GAGGGUAUGGUUCAGUGGUAGAAUGCAUGCUUGGCAUGCAUGGGGUCCUGGGUUCAAUCCCUAGUGCCUUCG